UACGUAGGGUGCAAGCGUUGUCCGGAAUUAUUGGGCGUAAAGAGCUCGUAGGCGGUUUGUCGCGUCGGAUGUGAAAACCCGGGGCUUAACCCCGGGCCUGCAUUCGAUACGGGCUGACUAGAGUACGGCAGGGGAGACUGGAAUUCCUGGUGUAGCGGUGAAAUGCGCAGAUAUCAGGAGGAACACCGGUGGCGAAGGCGGGUCUCUGGGCCGAUACUGACGCUGGAGGAGCGAAAGCGUGGGGAGCGAACAGG
rnacentral:rRNA from 1 species